rnacentral:rRNA from 1 species
GACGAACGCUGGCGGCGUGCUUAACACAUGCAAGUCGAACGGUAAGGCCCUUCGGGGUACACGAGUGGCGAACGGGUGAGUAACACGUGGGUGAUCUGCCCUGCACUUCGGGAUAAGACUGGGAAACUGGGUCUAAUACCGGAUAGGACUCCGGACUGCAUGGUCUGGGGUGAAAGCUUUUGCGGUGUGGGAUGGGCCCGCGGCCUAUCAGCUUGUUGGGGGGGUGAUGGCCUACCAAGGCGACGACGGGUAGCCGGCCUGGGAGGGUGACCGGCCACACUGGGACUGAGAUACGGCCCAGACUCCUACGGGAGGCAGCAGUGGGGAAUAUUGCACAAUGGGCGCAAGCCUGAUGCAGCGACGCCGCGUGAGGGAUGACGGCCUUCGGGUUGUAAACCUCUUUCAGCAUCGACGAAGCGAAAGUGACGGUAGGUGCAGAAGAAGGACCGGCCAACUACGUGCCAGCCGCCGCCGUAA